CCUACGGGUGGCAGCAGUGGGGAAUAUUGCACAAUGGGCGAAAGCCUGAUGCAGCAACGCAGCGUGAGCGAUGAAGGCCUUCGGGUCGUAAAGCUCUGUCCUCAAGGAAGAUAAUGACGGUACUUGAGGCGGAAGCCCCGGCUAACUACGGGACAGCAGCCGCGGUAAUACGUAGGGGGCUAGCGUUAUCCGGAAUUACUGGGCGUAAAGGGUGCGUAGGUGGUUUCUUAAGUCAGAGGUGAAAGGCUACGGCUCAACCGUAGUAAGCCUUUGAAACUGGGGAAAUUGAGUGCAGGAGAGGAGAGUGGAAUUCCUAGUGUAGCGGUGAAAUGCGUAGAUAUUAGGAGGAACACCAGUUGCGAAGGCGGUCUGCUGGACAGCAACUGACGGUGAGGCGCGAAAGCGUGGGGAGCAAACAGGAUUAGAUACCCGGGUAGUC
rnacentral:rRNA from 1 species